AUACUUCUAAGAAGAAGGGGAAGGGUAUACAAAGGUCAAAAUCUAGAAAUAGAGCUAGAAAAUGUUAUGGUUGUGGUAAAAUUGGUCACCACAUUAAGGACUGUUUUAAAAAGAAAAAUGAGCAAAGAGAGGUUAAAAUUGAUGAAGAGAACAUAGUUGAGCCUCUAGGUGAGGGUACUGUUGAUGUCUAUAAUGUAACUAAAUCCACAUCUAAUUUGAACUCUGCAAAUUAUGCAGAUAAUUCAAAUCAGAGUGUAGAAUGGAUCUUAGAUUCAGGUUGUAUCUUUCAUAUAACCUCUAAAAGGCAUUGGUUGCUUGAUUUUAAGGACUUAGACGGUGGUGAGGUAGUUAUGGGUAAUAAUGCAACCUGUAAAGUGUUGGGAAUAGACAGUGUGACUUUAAAAUUCGAAAAUGGGUAUACAUUUACCUUAGAAAUGAUGAGGCAUGUACCAUAUUUAAAUAGAAAUCUGAUUUCAGUUGGGAACUUAGAUGAUAUAGGUCUCCAAGAAAAAUUUGGAGAUGGUUUCUUGAAAAUAGUUAAGGAAUCUUUAGUUAUUUUCAAGGGUAUUAAAAGAAAUGGGAUCUAUGUCACUAAGGCAAAUGUGUUUAGUCAUACUGCAGAAUCCUCUAUGGCUGAGAAUGACGCUACUUUGAAAUGGCAUAAUAGGUUAGCCUAUGUGAGUAAGAAAGGCUUACACAUCUUAAGUCAAAAAGGUGCCUUUGAUAGUGACGUGAUUUCAAAAAUUCUCUUUUGUGAAUAUUGUACCUUAGGCAAACAGCAUAGACUACACUUUAGUACAAGGAAACAUAGGACAACAUCUAUCUUAGAGUAUAUACAUUCUGAUUUGUGGGUUCCAUCAUCCACCACCUCUCAAGGUGGGAAUAGGUACUUUUUAUCCUUAAUUGAUGAUUUUUCAAGAAAAGUACGGGUAUUUCUUUUGAAACAAAAAUUAG
rnacentral:lncRNA from 1 species